UUUUAAAUGGAGAAAGACUCGCCCCCAUUCCCAUAAGUUAUGAAGAAAACAGCUGUGGGCAGGGCUGGGCUUGAAUUUGAGAUGUCGUUCAAGCAAAAAGCAAAGUUCGCACAUCAAAGUUCCAACAGGGUUGUUGCUUCUCAGUACGACGCAAGAGAAACAGAACUAAGUAUCUGUAUUCAUUAUCCCUUCAAUAACUAUCAUGCCACAUAUUUCAAAAUGGCUCCACAGAAAAGAUGCCGAAGAAGACAGCUAAAACGUUCAUGGGUGAGGGUGGCAAGAAGGCUGAUGAUGCUGUUUUACACCUAGAGGUCUUAUGGAACCAGGACUGCAUUUGUACGCGGAACAAACAACUUUGGGGGAUGGUUUAGUAAUUGCCUUUGGUAGGGCUUGUCUCACAUUCAUUAAAAACUCCAGGCAAG
rnacentral:lncRNA from 1 species